rnacentral:rRNA from 1 species
UACAUGUGGGGCAAGCGUUGUUCGGAAUUACUGGGCAUAAAGGGUGCGUAGGUGGUUUGUUAAGUCACGGGUGAAAGUUUUCGGCCCAACCGGAAAAUUGCCCGUGAUACUGGCGAACUUGAGUGCGUGAGGGGUAACCGGAACGAGCAGUGUAGCGGUGAAAUGCGUAGAUAUUGCUCGGAAGGCCAGAGGCGAAGGCGGGUUACUGGUACGCAACUGACACUGAGGCACGAAAGCGUGGGGAACAAACAGG